rnacentral:misc_RNA from 1 species
AUGUUGGGCCAUCUACAUCAAAGAUAUCCAUGUCAGUUUCAUUGGGUUCAAUAAAUUCUCAAAGGAAGAGGGCUAAAUCUCAUUCAAACUGUAGAGGCGAUGAUACUGUGGAUGAAGCAUUUGAGAAGAGUGAUAACCAGAAUGGAACUACAUUGCAUACACAGUUAAAGAAGGGCUCAUUAUCAAUGUCUAAAGCGAACCAACAGGAUGCAAGUGUUCUUGAUUGCACAGAAGGUAGCAGAAAAGAUGCAUCAGAGAAUGGGAUGAUGUGUGCGCUUACUCGAGGUCUGCGAGAGACAACUGUUGCAUCUUGGGAUGGGAUAGAGUUGCCUGAGUCCCAGAUUGUGGAAUCAAAUAGAAUGGAAAAUCUCUGCAUUGGUUAUGUGCCAG